rnacentral:tRNA from 1 species
GCCGGAGUGGUGAAAUGGCAGACACAGCGGACUUAAAAUCCGCAGCGCGGUAAUCGCGUGUAGGGGUUCGAGUCCCCUCUCCGGCACCA